AUUGAACGCUGGCGGCAGGCCUAACACAUGCAAGUCGAGCGAGUGGCGGACGGGUGAGUAAUGUCUGGGAAACUGCCUGCUGGAGGGGGAUAACUAAUGGAAACGGUAGCUAAUCCCGCAUACCAUCAGAUGUGCCCAGAUGGGAUUAGCUAGUGGGUGGGGUAAUGGCUCACCACGGCGACGAUCCCUAGCUGGUCUGAGAGGAGGACCAGCAAAACUGGAACUGGGAAACGGUCCAGACUCCGACGGGAGGCAGCAGUGGGGAAUAUUGGACAAUGGGCGCAAGCCUGAUGCAGCCAUGCCGCGGGUGUGAAGAAGGCCUGCGGGUUGUAAAGCACUUUCAGGUGGGAGGCGUUACUCGCAGAAGAAGCACCGGCUAACUCCGUUCCAGCAGCCGCGGUAAUAC
rnacentral:rRNA from 1 species